UACGUAGGGUGCGAGCGUUGUCCGGAAUUAUUGGGCGUAAAGGGCUCGUAGGCGGUCUGUCGCGUCGGAAGUGAAAACUCAGGGCUUAACCCUGUUCGUGCUUCCGAUACGGGCAGACUAGAGGUAGGCAGGGGAGAACGGAAUUCCAGGUGUAGCGGUGGAAUGCGCAGAUAUCGGGAGGAACACCGGUGUCGAAGGCGGCCAGCUGGGAUACACCUGACGCUGAGAUGCGAAGGCGUGGGGAGCGAACGGGAUUAGAUACCCGUGUAGUCCCUGAG
rnacentral:rRNA from 1 species